GGAAUCCUGUCUGUCGACCCUGACGCGUGACGCCUGACAUUUACAGCUUUGACUGUGAUAUAUAAUGGUAAUAUGUUUAUCUAAAAGCAGAGAGAUUUUGUGGCAUUGCAGAGAGCGAAUAAGCGGAAUGGAAAAAUAGGUCAGAUGACUCUGGCAAGGUAUAGCCUAGAAUAGAUGCUAUUAUACCAUGCCUGAUGCAUGAUUGUUGCAGCCUCUUCAAUUGAAUGAACAAUGACAAAAGUUACUAAGACAACUACAAUCCUACAGCAUUGAAAGUGCUAAAAGAAGACAAUUGCUUACCAUUUGCUGGCAAAUUGGGAUCUUGCUUAAAAGUACUUGAUACCUUUUUCAUGGGAAACCUCAUUUCGCAUUCUUCUGCCAUUUUGAUUUACUUUUAUCAAAGUGUCAACCAUUUUUUUAGUCUGUAGACUGACAAAUUCAGGAUGAUUUUACUUCCAAGCAUUGACACAACAUACAUCUCCAUGUAAAGUCUUAAUUAACAUCAAUCCAUUUUAUGUAGGAGUCGAUUUUUAAUUUUUGCUUGACAAACGGAUAAGUUGAAUGGUUAAGUAUGGUUGUUGCCCAGCAGAUUCAAACAUCAUAGUUUUGGUCGCACCUAUUGCCCCUCAAAAUUUUGAGGGGCAAUAGACUUUUCCUAUAGUUUUUAUUAACAUUUACUAGACAGAAAAAAAUGUGUUGGUGAAUGUCGUCAAGAAUGCAGAUGAUUUAGUUAAUUUACUGUGGUAUCAACCUAAUCAAAAUCUUCAUAUGUGAAGUGCUUUCAGACUUCAUUGGUGCUGAAUUUUUGAGUAUAUUAUCACCAGAAUGUCAUACAAAAUAACUUGGGCAGAUACCUUUGGACAAUGGUUACACCAAGGGCAGUGAAUGCAUUUCUCUUUUCACCAUUGGUCAGCUGACUUGCCUUCCCAGUUGCAAUGAAGAAGAAUGAUUAGUCAAAAGUAUUAAAAGGAAACAAGCAACAGUUAUGGUUCGUUUGGUUGGAGCCCUUUGUCAACAAAGGGAGAGAGGACCAAGUCAAACGUAUCCGAAAGGUACGGGGUUACAAGAUGGAAGCUUAGCCACGGUUUAUUGUCAAACAAAUAGACACGGCUGUCGGAGCCCUUUGUGCGCAGGGCAUUUGACGAACCGGGCACUCAAAUGACGCUAAAGACUUUUCACUUUGUUGGUGUGGCACCGAUGAACAUCACACAGGAACUUUCUGGAUUAAGGAAAUCAUUAACGUCCUAAAGGCCUUUAGUACACCUGUUAUCUCCACCCAGCUUCUAAUUGUUGACGACCAGGAAUAUGCGCGACAAGUUAAAGGAAGGGUCGAAAACAAUUUUCGGAGAAAUAAAUUAAACAAUUUUUCGUUAUCAUUAUUUUUCAAUUGUCUUUUUAUGUGACGGGAUAUUUCGAUGAAGUAUAACUGCCUGAUGAUGUUUAAUGUCGAUUAAAUUAGACAUUAACCGAAUCCGCUUGCUAAAACUCGAGGUGGCUGCAAAUUCUAUCCAGUAGAGCCUCUGUAUACAUGUAAACUGAAAAUAAAACCUGCUUUCAUCGAAGUCAUUAGUGAAACAAUACAAAUUGUAAAGCUGUGCUCCAUCUGCAAAAUCGUCAAUGUAUCUGUGAGGCAGUACCUCAAAGAACAGUUGCCUAGGGACUUCAUACAGGGUUUGCCAACUGCUAGCCGAGCUGUCAUCAACAUCGACGAUACAAGGAAACCGCAUAGAUAGUGUGUAGGUUUUGAUUUCUAUAUCAGCUGCAGCAAUGACAAUGACCAUGACUAACAUGUGGAAAUGAUAGCAAACGGCGUAAACAUUUUUAGAAGAAAACAGAAAGUUUUCAAUUUUUUUUUAAAAUUCCCAAUGUCAAGGUUUAUCUGUUAACUGCUUCAAAUUGGCUCAGAAUUAGGCAGCAAUUUUGGAAGUUGUUGCUUUCUCAGUAUGAAUGAGUUUCAAUGUUGGUGUUGCAGGUGUUACCCAUGUUACGUUGACUGUUUGGAUUCCUAUUCAUUAACAUUUCAAAACCAAAUUCAUCUUCUUAAAAUUGACUCGAAAGGAUUUGGAUCAUUCUAGGAACAUAUCUAUCAAAGAUGCAAAGCUCUAAUGGGAUUAAUUUAUCCGUCAAGUACGUUUUCAUUUGCAGUCUGUAUGUCCUUUCCGAAGGCUCUGCCAGAAGAAUAUGCUAAAUAAUGAAUUUAUGAAUCGCGUAAGUUACACGAGCAAGAAUUUUUAUGCCUAACGAUGUU
rnacentral:lncRNA from 1 species